CCUACGGGUGGCAGCAGUGAGGAAUAUUGGUCAAUGGACGAGAGUCUGAACCAGCCAAGUAGCGUGAAGGAUGACUGCCCUAUGGGUUGUAAACUUCUUUUAUAUGGGAAUAAAAUGUUCCACGUGUGGGAUUUUGUAUGUACCAUAUGAAUAAGGAUCGUCUAACUCCGUGCCAGCAGCCGCGGUAAUACGGAGGAUCCGAGCGUUAUCCGGAUUUAUUGGGUUUAAAGGGAGCGUAGGUGGAUUGUUAAGUCAGUUGUGAAAGUUUGCGGCUCAACCGUAAAAUUGCAGUUGAAACUGGCAGUCUUGAGUACAGUAGAGGUGGGCGGAAUUCGUGGUGUAGCGGUGAAAUGCUUAGAUAGCACGAAGAACUCCGAUUGCGAAGGCAGUUCACUGUACUGCAACUGACACUGAGGCUCGAAAGUGUGGGUAUCAAACAGGAUUAGAUACCCGAGUAGUC
rnacentral:rRNA from 1 species